ACAAAUCUAAAUUGUAGAUAGAGAUUGCAAUAAUACUUUUGGCAAUAAAGCUGGUAAUACUUCCAAGCUUUGUUUUCAGCAAAAUUGCUGACAUUUAUUAUAAACUUUAAAUUAUUUGGAAAAUAUUAAGUUAAAAAUGAAAUCUAACACACGAAGCCUAAAAUGUCUUUCAUGCUAGCACUUGGUACACAAUAGUUUGAUGCCCAAUCUGACAUAUAUACGUGACUUGUGUAGGCUAAAACUGCAAAUAUUCCCUUGUCAAUACCUGACAUUAGAAGAAAAUUCAGCAUUAGAUGAUUUCUGCAGAAUAUACACUAAAAGAAAAGUGAUGUGACCAUAUACAUAAAGCGUUCUAAUUUUAGUAGGAAUUGCAAAGCAUGGAUAACCCCAUUUUAGUAAUAUCAAGCGAUGAAGAAUCGAACAGUGGUUCUAGUCCACCUAACAUACCGACAAUUGAUGAUUACCACAAGGAACUGAAUUUUUAUGACAAGGAAAGAAGUGGACCCUCUUGGAAUGCUGAGAUAGAGGACUUCGCCAGCAGCACCCAUAAUCGAAAUGCCCAUGAUCUUUCGGAGAGCGAUUCUGAUGGGCAGUCCCAAAUUAUGAGCUACCUUUCUCAGAAGAAAUCUCAGCCCCAAAAGGGUAAAAGACAGCGAAAAAACGUGAGUGAAGCAGAGCUGCUAAAAAAGAAAAAAAAAGAAGAAAAGAAGAAAGCAUUGAAUGAGGAAAGACGGAGAAAAAAAGAAGAAGAAGCCAAGCGGAAAGCUGAUAAAAAAGCAGCCUCCGAAUUGCUGAAGAAAUGAAACCUGGAGAGUGUAUGAAGGUUUGUUAGCUCCUCUCAUUUGAACUCCACCUUCAAUUCGUUUCUUAAUUUAAAUCGUAGUAUCUUUACUUAACCAUUCAUGAGAAAAGAGACCUCCCAGCACUAAGGCA
rnacentral:lncRNA from 1 species